UACGUAGGGACCAAGCGUUGUUCGGAUUUACUGGGCGUAAAGGGCGCGUAGGCGGCAAAUUAAGUCAUCUGUGAAAUCUCCGAGCUUAACUCGGAACGGUCAGGUGAUACUGAUCUGCUAGAGUGCGGAAGGGGCAAUCGGAAUUCUUGGUGUAGCGGUGAAAUACGUAGAUAUCAAGAGGAACACCUGAGGUGAAGACGGGUUGCUGGGCCGACACUGACGCUGACAGCGCGAAAGCCAGGGGAGCAAACGGG
rnacentral:rRNA from 1 species